rnacentral:rRNA from 1 species
GCGGGCGGCGUGCUAUACAUGCAGUCGAGCGAACAGACGAGGAGCUUGCUCCUUUGACGUUAGCGGCGGACGGGUGAGUAACACGUAGGUAACCUACCUAUAAGACUGGGAUAACUUCGGGAAACCGGAGCUAAUACCGGAUAAUAUUUCGAACCGCAUGGUUCGAUAGUGAAAGAUGGCUUUGCUAUCACUUAUAGAUGGACCUGCGCCGUAUUAGCUAGUUGGUAAGGUAACGGCUUACCAAGGCAACGAUACGUAGCCGACCUGAGAGGGUGAUCGGCCACACUGGAACUGAGACACGGUCCAGACUCCUACGGGAGGCAGCAGUAGGGAAUCUUCCGCAAUGGGCGAAAGCCUGACGGAGCAACGCCGCGUGAGUGAUGAAGGUCUUCGGAUCGUAAAACUCUGUUAUUAGGGAAGAACAAACGUGUAAGUAACUGUGCACGUCUUGACGGUACCUAAUCAGAAAGCCACGGCUAACUACGUGCCAGCAGCCGCGGUAAUACGUAGGUGGCAAGCGUUAUCCGGAAUUAUUGGGCGUAAAGCGCGCGUAGGCGGUUUUUUAAGUCUGAUGUGAAAGCCCACGGCUCAACCGUGGAGGGUCAUUGGAAACUGGAAAACUUGAGUGCAGAAGAGGAAAGUGGAAUUCCAUGUGUAGCGGUGAAAUGCGCAGAGAUAUGGAGGAACACCAGUGGCGAAGGCGACUUUCUGGUCUGUAACUGACGCUGAUGUGCGAAAGCGUGGGGAUCAAACAGGAUUAGAUACCCUGGUAGUCCACGCCGUAAACGAUGAGUGCUAAGUGUUAGGGGGUUUCCGCCCCUUAGUGCUGCAGCUAACGCAUUAAGCACUCCGCCUGGGGAGUACGACCGCAAGGUUGAAACUCAAAGGAAUUGACGGGGACCCGCACAAGCGGUGGAGCAUGUGGGUUAAUUCGAAGCAACGCGAAGAACCUUACCAAAUCUUGACAUCCUUUGA